GACGAACGCUGGCGGCGUGCUUAACACAUGCAAGUCGAACGGAAAGGCCCUGCUUUUGUGGGGUGCUCGAGUGGCGAACGGGUGAGUAACACGUGAGUAACCUGCCCUUGACUUUGGGAUAACUUCAGGAAACUGGGGCUAAUACCGGAUAGGAGCUCCUGCUGCAUGGUGGGGGUUGGAAAGUUUCGGCGGUUGGGGAUGGACUCGCGGCUUAUCAGCUUGUUGGUGGGGUAGGGGCUUACCAAGGGUUUGACGGGUAGCCGGCCUGGGAGGGUGACCGGCGACAUUGGGACUGAGAUACGGACCAGACUCCUACGGGCGACAGCAGUGGGGAAUAUUGCACAAUGGGCGGAAGCCUGAUGCAGCAGCGCCGCGUGCGGGAUGACGGCCUUCGGGUUGUAAACCGCUUUCGCCUGUGACGAAGCGUGAGUGACGGUAAUGGGUAAAGAAGCACCGGCUAACUACGUG
rnacentral:rRNA from 1 species